GGAGAUGUGGCUCAGUGGUAGAGUGUUUAUCUAGUAUAAUAAGGCCCUGGGUUCUAAUCCCAGCUACUUGG
rnacentral:tRNA from 1 species